rnacentral:rRNA from 1 species
GAUGAACGCUGGCGGCGUGCCUAAUACAUGCAAGUCGAGCGAACAGACGAGGAGCUUGCUCCUCUGACGUUAGCGGCGGACGGGUGAGUAACACGUGGAUAACCUCCCUAUAAGACUGGGAUCACUUCGGGAAACCGGCGCUUAUACCGGAUAAUAUAUUGAACCGCAUGGUUCAAUAGCGAAAGACGGUUUUGCUGUCACUUCUCGAUGGAUCCGCGCCGCAUUAGCUAGUUGGUAAGGUAACGGGUUACCAAGGCGACGAUGCGUAGCCGACCUGAGAGGGUGAUAGGCCACACGGGAACUGGGACACGGUCCAGACGCCUACGGGAGGCAGCAGUAGGGAAUCUUCCGCAAUGGGCGAAAGCCUGACGGAGCAACGCCGCGUGAGUGAUGAAGGUCUUCGGAUCGUAAAACUCUGUUAUGAGGGAAGAACAAAUGUGUAAGUAACUAUGCACGUCUUGACGGUACCUAAUCAGAAAGCCACGGCUAACUACGUG